rnacentral:rRNA from 2 species
AACCUGCCCACUGAAAUUUUUUAAAUGGCCGCAGUAUACUAACUGUGCAAAGGUAGCAUAAUCAUUAGUCUUUUAAUUGAAGGCUGGUAUGAAUGGUUGGACGAGAUAUUAACUGUUUCAUAAGAAUUUAUAAUAGAAUUUUAUUUUUUAGUCAAAAAGCUAAAAUAUAUUUAAAAGACGAGAAGACCCUAUAAAUCUUUAUAUUUAGAUUAUUAUAAUUUUAUAGAUUUUUUUUGUUAUAAUAAUCAAUGAUAUUUUAUUGGGGUGAUAUUAAAAUUUAAUAAACUUUUAAUUGUUAAAAUCAUUAAUUUAUGAAUAAUUGAUCCGUUAUUAGCGAUUAAAAAAAUAAGUUACUUUAGGGAUAACAGCGUAAUUUUUUUGGAGAGUUCAUAUCGAUAAAAAAGAUUGCGACCUCGAUGUUGGAUUAAGAUAUAAUUUUAGGUGUAGCCGCUUAAAUUUUAAGUCUGUUCGACUUUUAAAUUCUUACAUGAUCUGAGUUCAAACCGGCGUAAGCCAGGUUGGUUUCUAUCUUUAAAAA